rnacentral:misc_RNA from 1 species
CUCCGGUUUGUCACCGGCAGUCUCAUUAGAGUGCUCUUGCGUAGCAACUAAUGAUAAGGGUUGCGCUCGUUGCGGGACUUAACCCAACAUCUCACGACACGAGCUGACGACGGCCAUGCAGCACCUGUGUCCUAGUUCUCUUUCGAGCACCCUCACAUCUCUGCGAGAUUCUUGGCAUGUCAAGUGUAGGUAAGGUUUUUCGCGUUGCAUCGAAUUAAACCACAUCAUCCACCGCUUGUGCGGGUCCCCGUCAAUUCCUUUGAGUUUCAGCCUUGCGGCCGUACUCCCCAGGCGGGGCACUUAAUGCGUUAGCGACGACACUCAGGGGGUCGCUCCCCCAAGCAUCGAGUGCCCAUCGUUUACAGCGUGGACUAC